rnacentral:lncRNA from 1 species
UGCAAGUGACAAAAAAAUUUGAUGGUUGGCCCAUGAAAUCACAAGUUCGAAAUUUUACAGCUUCACAUGAUUUACAGUUUACACUGUGGAUAUUUGAAUAUGAAUAUGUAUAUACAAUAUUUCAAAAUGUAUAUGUAUCUGCGUAAAUUGUUGAGAUGGUAGCGAGUAUGAUAUGAAAUUCUUUAAUUGGUUUGGUCACUUAGGCUUCGUUUGGUUCGGAUAUAAGCAAGAACUAGUUAUACCGGAGAUAGGUACAAGUACGGAUUUUCGUAGGAAUAAGAGUUUUUUUUUUUUUUUGAGAGAUAGGUAGCACGCUACCCGCUUCGUUUAUUUCAUUUCAUUUAGAAAUAAACUUGGCUGGAAAAUGUGAAGCAACUAGGAUUCGAACUUGGGUCUCGGGUACCAACCACCAGCCAUUUGCUCUAGGGACGGUCGGUAAUAAGGGUAUUUUUUUGUUUGGAUGAAAAUGUGAGUAUAAGCUGGAACUAGAAAAAUUGUGUUUGAAUGAAAAUGUGAGUACAAGGUGGAAUAGUUGGUAGUUAUAAGUAGAAAAUAAUGAUAUUAAACAUAUAAUUGAAUUUAAAUUUUUACACUAAAAAUUUUAAAUUGAAAAUUUUAAUUUUU